AUUGAACGCUGGCGGCAGGCCUAACACAUGCAAGUCGAGCGGCAGCGGGAAGUAGCUUGCUACUUUGCCGGCGAGCGGCGGACGGGUGAGUAAUGUCUGGGGAUCUGCCUGAUGGAGGGGGAUAACUACUGGAAACGGUAGCUAAUACCGCAUAACCUCGAAAGAGCAAAGUGGGGGACCUUCGGGCCUCACGCCAUCGGAUGAACCCAGAUGGGAUUAGCUAGUAGGUGGGGUAAUGGCUCACCUAGGCGACGAUCCCUAGCUGGUCUUAGAGGAUGACCAGACACACUGGAACUGAGACACGGUCCAGACUCCUACGGGAGGCAGCAGUGGGGAAUAUUGCACAAUGGGCGCAAGCCUGAUGCAGCCAUGCCGCGUGUAUGAAGAAGGCCUUCGGGUUGUAAAGUACUUUCAGCGGGGAGGAAGGCGGUGAGGUUAAUAACCUCAUCGAUUGACGUUACCCGCAGAAGAAGCACCGGCUAACUCCGUGCCAGCCGCCGCAGUAA
rnacentral:rRNA from 1 species